rnacentral:rRNA from 1 species
UGGGGAAUAUUGGACAAUGGGCGAAAGCCUGAUCCAGCCAUGCCGCGUGUGUGAAGAAGGUCUUCGGAUUGUAAAGCACUUUACGUUGGGAGGAAGGGCAGUAAGCGAAUACCUUGCUGUUUUGACGUUACCGACAGAAUAAGCACCGGCUAACUCUGUGCCAGCAGCCGCGGUAAUACAGAGGGUGCAAGCGUUAAUCGGAAUUACUGGGCGUAAAGCGCGCGUAGGUGGUUCGUUAAGUUGAAUGUGAAAGCCCCGGGCUCAACCUGGGAACUGCAUCCAAAACUGGCGAGCUAGAGUAGGGCAGAGGGUGGUGGAAUUUCCUGUGUAGCGGUGAAAUGCGUAGAUAUAGGAAGGAACACCAGUGGCGAAGGCGACCACCUGGGCUCAUACUGACACUGAGGUGCGAAAGCGUGGGGAGCAAACAGG